UCCCGCAAUAGCUCAGUUGGUAGAUCAUGAGACUCUGACUCUCAGGUUCACAGGUUCCAAGCCCUGCAUUGGGCA